rnacentral:tRNA from 1 species
GGUUGAGUACUUUAAGGAAAAAGAAUUGAUUUGCAUUCAAAAAAUGGGCAAUUGCUGCCCCUUAGCCA